UUCAAUAGUAAUAGCAAAAGAAACUUUUUAAAUUACGAUUUGUUGAUCUACGUUGUGACGCCCCCAGAAUAGGUAUACAUCACCUAUUCUGAGUCGCCAAAAUACAUGAUACAGAAAAAUAACUACAACUUUAUUAAUACAAUUGUCGUGCAAAAUACGACAACACAUAUUGUGAGUUUAAAUAUAAUAUUGUCUUCUAGACAAUAUCCACACCCAAAUAAAGUCCUCAUUACAAUUAUUGAUGCACUAUUUUACAAAAUAGUGAGGAUUACUAAAAUAACUAUCUUGAAUCAUCACUCCAUACCCCGGCUAAUCCCUACUAAAUUCUCACCUCCUGAAAAAAAAAAUGGAACAAAAAAGAAAAGGGUGAGCUCAACUAGCCUAGUAACGAAUAUUAUGACUAAGAUAAUAUACAACAAAUUAUCCUUAGUCUUCAACAGAAAAAAAUCUGAUAGAAUACAAUAGACAACAAGUUUUAGAUCAACAACUGCAGCGGAAAUAACAAUUCAUUAGAAGAGUUAAGUAGAGAAUGAAAUCUACUAUCAUCUAUGAAUUUAAAAGUCCAUCAUCAAUAUUUUAUUCCUGUAACAUCAAUCAAUAUACAUCUUUGCACUAUGGCCAAAGAUAUUCAUUUGUAUCACCAGUUGGUCAUGUUCAUCACAACACCUAUUCAUCUUUGCACUACGGGCCGAAGAUAUUCAUCAGGUAAUCAUUCAUCUUUGCACUACCGGCCAAAGAUAUUCAAUAUUUUAGAGAACGAAUCCAGUGAGACAGAAGGACAAAUAUUAGGGAUUCGUAUUAUAGUUUAUCCAAGAUCAAUAAUACUUCAUAAUAACCAAUUGUGAAGCAGAAUGCAAAAAUAACGCUCAAAACAUGGAUACAAUAAAAAAUAGUAACCAUAAUAGAUAUCUUGGACAAAAAGAAAAAAAUUUCAUUUUUCGGUGAAUAGUGUCGUAUUCGCGAAUAGUGUCGUAUACGUGAAUAGUAUCGUAUACGUGAAUAGUAAUCCCGACACAAAAAGUUUUAAAUUUGAUUAAAAAGUUCAAACCAAUAUUUCGGCAUAAUGAUAUUAAAGAAAAUAAUAUCAUUUAAGAAGAAAAUAAUAUCCCUUACCUCAAAGAAUCAGUACUUCAGAUUGAAAGGUCGGAAGUGAUGCUGAAUGAAAUUUGUACUGAACAACAACUCUCUAAGUAUCUAAAUACUCACAAAAUACGCUCGAUAAUAUAGAGAGAGAAAGAGAGAAAGCUUAUGUUUCUGGUGUGAUUUUCAAUUCUAACUUAGCCCUCUAUUUAUAGAAAAAUGUUAGCCCGCCGAAGCAGACUUGACCUGCUACCUGACGGCUUUACCUGCUACUAUUGUCACCCACCACAUUUGAAAUAAAAUUCAGCACAUUUCUUCACCAACCACAAGUGGGGCCCACUCAAUUCUAGAAUUUUCUAUCAAAAUCAUUUAUAACACUAAUUUCUGAAGCAGUCACCUCUUAAAAUUCAUAACAAAUCAUUCGUUCAUUUUUAACGGUUCAAAAUUUGUGGACAUAUACAAAAAUUAUAUAUGUAUAACAUAUCCAAAAAUCACAAUGAUCCAACGGUCAGAUUAAAAAUUAUAACUCACGCAAUAUAUCGUAAAAAUACUGAUUUGAUUUUUAAUACCUCUAUUCCGACAAAAAUACAGAAAAAAGACCUCAACAUUAACUCUUUCAAUUAUAAUCACAUAAAAUAAAUAAAUCCAUUAUUUAUAUAAAAUAAAUAUUUCCUUAUCAUAUAUAUCUAUAAUUAAUUAUUCACAAAUUAUAUUACAGAAUCACAAUUAUGACAACCAGGCCGUUCCCAGGAAAGAGGGGGCUUUCCAAUAAGAAUUUCUCCUUACUGACGCGCAAUUAGAUGCCUAACCUCUCCUUGACAGAACUUUCUAGACAUUGUCAAUAAUGCUAUCUAAUAAUAUUAUUCAAAUAAUAUGAAUUAUUGGUCUAAUAAUGGGAAAUACAGUGCAAUGACAAUUAUUGAAACAACAAUAAUAUAAAAUAUCAACGCAGCAAUUAUUAAAUUAAUAAAAUAAAAUAUUAAACAGUAACUACUGUAACAAUUAUUGAGUAGUGCCUUCUUACGUAAGGAUCAAUAAUUCAAAAAUACUGUGCAAUAUCGUAUGUUACUGUGCAACCACGCAUAUUACUGUAUUUUAACCACCGGGUAUUCUAACAGUGUUAACGGUAACGAUUACGCCGUUAUUUGUAACAACUCAAAUUUGUCAUUUUCUUCAUCCGACAGUUAUUCUGUUAUGGGGCCCACAAAUGACUGCACCGUCGUACGAAUAUUCCCCGGCAGCAAGAAUAUUCCACAACCAAACGAAUAUUCCCAGACAAAAAUGAAUAUUUUAUAACCACUUGUUUAUUUUGUAAAAUUUGCACAUUUCACCCAUAACCAAAGUAUUAUAUCAAAUUAACUCCUUAUUAUUUCAAGAUAAUAAAUAGAGAAAAUUUAAUUUUAUUCAUAAUAAGUUGGGGUCUUACAACCUCCCCUCCUUAUGAAAUUUCGUCCUCGAAAUUGACGUACGUACCUGGUGUUUCGAAAAGGUGAGGGUACCUCACUUUCAUUUUCGAUUCCAACUCCCAAGUCAUUUCCUCAAUAGCAUGGUUCCUCCACAAAACCUUGACUUGUGGUAUAACCUUUGUUCGUAGGAUAUGCUCUUUCCUAUCCAAUAUCUUGACAGGUACCUCCUCGUACGUUAAAUCUUCGGCUAUCUCGUCUGGUUCUAACGCAAUAAUGUGGUUUGGGUCUUUCACAUAUUUAUGAAGCAUAGAUAUAUGAAAAACAUUAUGAACAUGAGACAUACUUGGAGGUAAUGCGAGUCUAUAGGCCACAUUUCCUAUUCGGUCAAGAAUCUCAAAUGGACCAACAAAUCAUGGAUUAAACUUUCCUCUCUUCCCAAAUCUUGUAACUCCCUUCCAUGGAGCAAUACGUAACAGUACAUGAUCUCCAAUAUUAAACUCCACGUCCUUUCGAUGAAGAUCAGUAUAACUCUAUUGUCGAUCUUGUGAGGUCUUUAUACGUUGCCGGAUCAUUUGAAUCUUUUCUGUAGUCAUGCGUACUAAUUCUGGUCCCAACAAUGUUGUUUCUCCCACCUCGUCCCAGCAUACUGGAGAACGAUACUUUCGUCCAUAUAGCGUCUCGAAUGGAGCCAUGCCUAUACUUGCUUGAUAACUGUUGUUGUAAGAGAAUUCCACCAAUGACAAGUACUUAUCCCAACUUCCUUUGAAAUCUAGGACACAGAGUCUUAAUAAAUCUUCAAGGGUUUGAAUAGUCCUUUCUGAUUGUCCGUCCGUUUGAGGAUGGUAUGCUAAACUGAAUCGUAUAUCCAUCCCCAUAGCUUUCUUCAAGCUAACCCAAAAUCGUGAAGUGAAUCUUGGGUCACGAUCUGAAACUAUGGAUACUGGCAUGCCAUGCAAUCUCACAAUCUCAUUUACGUACAUACUAGCAAGACGUUCAAGGGAAUAAGUCUCACGUAUAGGCAAGAAAUGAGCAGACUUGGUUAAUCUGUCAACAAUAACCCAAAUUGCAUCUAUGCCUUGAGAGACUUUGGGAAAACCCGUAACGAAAUCCAUGGUAAUGUGUUCCCACUUCCAUUUUGGAAUCUCAAGUGGUUGCAAUGGACCCUUUGGCACUUGAUGCUCCGCCUUUACACGUUGACAAGUUAAACACCUCGAGAUAAACUCUGCAAUCUCUCUCUUUAUAUUGCUCCACCAAAAUGUAUGUCGAAGAUCAUGAUACAUUUUGGUACUCCCAAGAUGGAUUGCAAACGGUGUGUUGUGUGCCUCCAUCAUGAUUUUAUACUUCAAGUCAGAAUCGUUAGGAACGCAAAGUCUGGAGUUAAUUCUAAGUAUUCCUUCUUCAUCAAUUCUUGCCUCCGGAAUGACACCUUCUUGCACUUUCGUCUUCAUACGUAUCAUCUCUAAGUCUGUGGCUUGAGCAGCUUUAACUUCAUCGAUUAAAGUCGGUUCUACUCGUAUAUUUUCCAUCAUCAUGUGGGUCCCUGGAGUCUUUAACUCUAUCUCCAUCCUUUGCAAGUCCUACAAAAUGGGUCUUUGUGUUAACAACAUCGUACUCGUACCCGCAUACGAUCUUCUACUCAAUGCGUCAGCUACAACGUUUGCUUUUCCAGGAUGAUAUUGAAUGCUAUGGUCGUAAUCCUUCAACAGCUCGAGCCAACGUCGUUGCCGUAUUUUGAGUUCCUUUUGAGUGAAGAAAUAUUUAAGGCUUUUAUGAUCCGUAUAAAUCUCCACUUUCUCUCCAUAAAGGUAGUGUCUCCAUAUUUUCAACGCAAAAACGACUGCUGCCAACUCCAGAUCAUGAGUAGGAUAAUUCUUAUCAUAUUCUUUGAGUUGUCGUGAGGCAUAGGCUAUGACUUUCCCAUGUUGCAUGAGAACACAUCUUAACCCUUUGCCUGAAGCAUCACUGUAGAUAAUAAAUCCAUCCGAACCAGAUGGUAUUGUCAGAACAGGUGCCGAAAUGAGUCUCCUUUUAAGCUCUUGGAAACUCUUCUCGCAUUCCUCGCUCUAUACGAAUUUUGUGUCUUUCCAAGUCAGCUGAGUUAACGGAGUAGCGAUUCGAGAAAAUCCUUCCAUGAAUCUCCGAUAAUAACCAGCUAAGCCCAGAAAUCUACACACUUCGUUCACCGACUUUGAAUGCUCCCAACUUUGGAUUGCUUCAAUCUUUGCCGGGUCAACAGAUACUCCAUGUUUUGACACCACGUGCCCAAGGAAUGCUACUUUAUUAAGCCAGAACUCGCAUUUCUUCAACUUGGCAUAUAGCUUGUUGUCACGAAGUCUUUGAAGUACCAGCUUCAAAUGGUGUUCAUGAUCUUCACGGCUUUUGGAAUAGAUGAGGAUGUCAUCAAUAAAGACAACAACGAACUGAUCCAAAUAUUCCUUGAAUACUCGGUUCAUCAUAUCCAUGAAAGCAGCAGGAGCAUUAGUCAAUCCAAAAGACAUGACUAAGAAUUCAUAAUGCCCGUACCGAGUUCUAAAGGCAGUCUUUGGAAUAUCCUCAGUUCUAAUCUUCAGCUGAUGAUAUCCAGAACGAAGAUCGAUUUUUGAAAAGAAUUGUGCUCCUUGCAACUGGUCAAACAAGUCAUCAAUACGAGGUAGAGGAUACCUAUUCUUGAUGGUGACAUGGUUCAAUUCCCGAUAGUCAAUACAAAGUCGCAUACUCCCGUCUUUCUUCUUUACGAAUAAAACAGGAGCACCCCAAGGAGAUGUACUAGGACGAAUGAAACCGAUGUCCAACAACUCCUGUAGUUGGACCUUUAACUCCUGAAGUUCAAUAGGAGCCAUUCGAUAUGGGGUUUUAGAAAUGGGCUUUGUACCAGGUUCAAGAUCAAUAAAGAAUUCAACUUCACGUUCUGGGGGUAGACCGGGAAGUUCUUCAGGAAAUACGUCAGGAAAUUUACUAACAACAGGAAUAUUAUUCAAAUCUGACGUGUCUUUAUUCAAAUCCAUAACAUGGGCUAAGAAAGCUUGACAUCCGUUUUUCAAUAAACGAAUAGCUUUAUGGCUUGAUAUGAUAGUGACUGAUUUUAGUGGUUUAGUUGCUUGUAUUCGUAUAACAGGUUGGUUAGGAAUAUUAAAACUAACAACCUUACGAAAAUAAUCAAUUUUGGCAUGAUGAGUGGUUAGCCAAUCAAUCCCUAAAAUCACAUCAAAUGCAAGUAUCUUUAAAGAAAUAAGAUCAACAGGUAAUGUGAUUGUGCCAACUUGGAUCAAGCAAGAUUUAUAAACUGUAGAUGUAAUGAAGGUUUCACCCAACGGAGUUUCAACAGAUAAGUUAAAGUCCAAUUUCUCUGGAGUUAAGUUUAAACGUUGAGCACAAGCAAGAGAGAUAAAAGAAUGGGUAGAAUCGGUAUCUAGUAAGGUAUAAACUUCGCAAGAGUUCAAGAUUAGCUUACCCGUGAUCACCUCGUUUGGGUUUCUCGCAUUUUGGCCAGUCACGACAAACGCCCUUCCUUGAACCACCGACUUCAUUUUGUCCGUAGUCGCCUUUGGUGCCGUUGUCACAGCUGGACUUGUCUUCGCUACCGGACAAAAUCGGGCUCUAUGACCAUCUUUUCCACAACUGAAACAUACCUUGGAAGGCUGUGAACAGUUUGGACUUAUGUGUUCCUUCUCUCCGCAUCUAUAGCAUCUAACUGGUGGUCGUUCUCCUGCCCUAGAAUUUGUUGAUGGUGUUGGUGCUGUUGCUGAUGUCGUCCCGUCAUUAUUGAAUCUCCUCUUUUUGAAAUUUUCGCUCAACUCACCUCUCCUGUUAUCAUGGCCACGAUUACCACCAGAGUGGUUACCGCUUUUGUCUGUAUUUUUCCCUCCUCUCUGGUUAUCAUCGCACCGAUGACUGCUGUCACCGGUAUGACCCUGAUUGUGGUCCCUUGGUUGAACAUACUCAUUAUCACGCUUUAAUAAAUGAGCCUUGUUUUCAACAUCUGAAUAUAAAGAAAAUUUAUGAGAGAUAAGAUAUUGUCGAAUCUCGGCUUUUAGACCUCUCAGAAACAUCCACGUCAUACGUUCCUCAUUUUCUACCAAAUGAGGUGCAAACAUGGAUAACUCCGCGAACUUUACCUCGUACUGAGACACCGUCAUGUUGUUCUGUUCUAGUCUAAUAAACUCUACACCGUCACCGUCAUGUAUAACAUAUCCAAAAAUCACAAUGAUCCAACGAUCAAAUUAAAAAUUAUAACUCACGCAAUAUAUCGUAAAAAUACUGAUUUGAUUUUUAAUACCUCCAUUCCGACAAAAAUACCUUAACAUUAACUCCUUCAAUUAUAAUCACAUAAAAUAAAUAAAUCCAUCAUUUAUAUAAAAUAAAUAUUUCCUUAUCAUAUAAAUCAAUAAUUAAUUAUUCACAAAUUAUAUUACAGAAUCACAAUUAUGACAACCAGGCCGUUCCCAAGAAAGAGGGGGCUUUCCAAUAAGAAUUUCUCCUUACUGGCGCAAUUAGAUGACCUAACCUCUCCUUGACAGAACUUUCUAGACAUUGUCAAUAAUGCUAUCUAAUAAUAUUAUUCAAAUAAUAUGAAUUAUUGAUCUAAUAAUGGGAAAUACAAUGCAGUGACAAUUAUUGAAACAACAAUAAUAUCAACACAGCAAUUAUUAAAUCAAUAAAAUAAAAUAUUAAACAGUAACAACUGUAACAAUUAUUGAGUAGUGCCUUCUUACGUAAGGAUUAAUAAUUCAAAAAUACUGUGCAAUACCGCGUGUUACUAUGCAACUACGCAUAUUACUAUAUUUUAACCACCGGGUAUUCUAACAGUGUUAACGGUAACGAUUACGCCGUUAUUUGUAACAACUCAAAUUUAUCAUUUUUUUCAUCCGACAGUUAUUAUGUUAUGGGGCCCACAAAUGACUGCGCCGUCAUACGAAUAUUCCCCGGCAGCAAGAAUAUUCCACAACCAAACGAAUAUUCCCCGAUAAAAAUGAAUAUUUUAUAACCACUUGUUUAUUUUGUAAAAUUUGCACAUUUCACCCAUAACCAAAGUAUUAUAUCAAAUUAACUCCUUAUUAUUUCAAGAUAAUAAAUAGAGAAAAUUUAAUUUUAUUUAUAAUAAGUUGGGGUCUUACAUACGUGGCAAUUUGAGGAGCAUUAUUUGCUACUUUCAUAUUUUGUGCCUCAUAAGUCUCUUCAAUUCAAUGAGCUGCACACCAAACCCAUCAAGCAAAAUAAAUAUUUUUAGCCUUUCAUAAAUGUUUUGAAGAGAGAAAAUGAGGUUGCAGAUUUGAAGAGAGAGAACGAGGUUGCAAAUUUGAUGACUAAGGUUGAAGAGGUUGCUAGAGAUAAUUUUUCUGAUGUGGUUCACCUAUUUUGAAUAUCCCAAAGUGGUUGAAGAGACUGUUAUAGAUGCUCUAAUAGAUUUUGUUGGGUCAUACUCCCUUCGUCCAGGAUAAAAGUAUUUAUUACUGUUUCAGGUAAUCCCAAGUUAAAUGUCUACUUAACUUAAAUGAUCUAUUUUUUACAAUAAUUUACAUGUAAUACCCUUAUUAUUAAUUGUUAUAUAUUUAUUCUCUAUGCAUAUUUAUGGAGAUCACUAGUAAUAUGCAAAAAACUAUGCAAUUAAAUGAGAAUUUAAAUAUGGACAAUUUUAUUAUUUUAUCCUCUUUCUUAAUAUGCACAAAAAGUCAACCAAAACUUUUAUCCUGAAACGGAGGGAGUUAUAUAUCUUAGAUACAUUUUCUAACAUUAAUAGAUCAUGAUCUAACCUGCAACUCCAAACAUUUAUUGCUUAUUUACAUCUUCAGCACUCCCAAACUAAUACUUACUAACUAGCAUUCUAACAAGUAAGGCUGAAAACGGGUCGAGUGGGUCGGGGUCGGGCUCGGAUCGGAGUCGACUCGGAAAAAAUUCGAACGGGACCCGAAUUCGUAUAUUAACCGAGUCGAUUUUGGGCAACUUUCAUUAUUCGACUCCUCAGACGAUCCGAAUCUGAGAGAAGCCAUACUCUGCUAGUUUUCUCCAUGAGUAGUUCGAUCAAUUUCGAAUCAUUCAUCGUGAAUUCGAUCGAAUAUGUUCGACUAUGGUUCGCGAGUAUGCUUAUAUAUGUAUAUACAUAGUUUUAUAUUUUUGAUUCACUGUCUAACGAUUUCUCUUCCCCAUACCAGUUGGGACUUGGGUCAGAGUAACGAUUUCUCUUCCCAUGUUCGACUGUUCCCCAAUUGAGACUUGGGCCAGUAAUCCUUACUUCCUUCCUCCUACAUGCUACGGUCUUCUUAUUCCUUGAUAUAUGUUUGAGAAGUGUAAGAGACAAUUAACUUUUAAUUUUUGUCUAGGAAAUACUAAUUUUUCAUCAUUUAUGUUAUGUUGUAGUUGAAAAUCUCAAGAUCUGCAGAUGCAUGGCUAUAAUUCGAGAGAAUUCAAAGAGAUAUAGCUUUUAGGGCUUAACUUGGUAAGUUAUCAGUCGAUUCAGUCCCCAGAUUUAUUUAUAUAACCCCAAUUUUAUUUUUCCCAAAUCAUUCAAAAAUCAAAACCCUAGUUUUAUUUUCUUCUAAACUCUCAACCUAAACUUUUUCAAAAUGUUAAACUCUAAGUCUGUUACUGGUACUCAACUAACCAGUGCUAACGAUAAUGGUAAUAGUUAUCAAUUUUGAUUAAUUUUCAAUUUGGGUCAUAGUUUAAUUUUUAUUUACAUUCAAAGUUAUUAUCUUUUCAUUAUUUGACUCAUUGUCUGUCUUUAUUUUUCCAGAUGGAUUGGUUAAUCAGUCAAUACCAGUAGUUAAUCUUUCACAAGCCUCUGAUAAUGGCAAUACUUCUGCCACCAAUAAUGCUAUCAUUGAAAUUGACGAUCCUAAGGGAGAAGAGAAAGGUACUGAAGAAAAUGGAGAAGGAAAAAAGAAGAGAAAAACUUCAAAGGUUUGGUCUGAAUUUAACAUUAUUAAAUUACAAAAUGGUACCAAAAAUGUGACGCCCCCAAAAUAGGUCCACACGACCCAUUCUGUGUCGUCAGAUAUCACACAAUAAAAAUCAAAUGCAAACUUCAUUUAUACAACUAUUGAACUGUCGUGCAGAGUACGACAACAGUUAACUGUGAGUUUUAAUACAAUAUUAUCUCGUAGACCGUAUCCAAACUUAAAUUAUUACAAUGUCAUAUAAAAUACAGCAGCAAAUAUUUCAAGACCCCAAAGAAGAAUGAGAAGAUUACUAUCUUGUUUAUUCUAAUGAGGUGAACUUUUGACGCUUUCAAAGUCUGGUUCUCAUCACCCUAUUGUUGUUCGCCAAAAUCAAUUAUUAAGUGACGUAUAAAAUACGACACACACAUCUUAGGUCCUCAAUACAAUUAUCUGUUGCAAGUCAUGCCGUUUUAUAAUGUAUUGAGAAACUUCGACAGUCUCGGACCAUCACACUAUUUCCCUGUUAUCCCCGCUUGACCCAGCUACACUCUUAUUACCUGAAAGGAAUUGUGAAGCAAAAAGGGUGAGCACAACUAACCCAGUAAAGAAUAUCUUGGCUAAGAUAAUUAAAUUAUCAAUAGCCUUCGUCAAUUAUAAAUCAGAGAUUUAGAACAUAUGGUAGAUGAUAAAACUUUUCAACCAUAGUUGCAGCGGAACGAGCAAUCCAUUAGAAGAGUCAAAUAGACCAUAAUGUCUAUUAUCUUUUCUAUGUUAAAAGUCCACCAACAAUAUUUUAUCCCUGUAACAUCAAUCAACAAUUCAUGUCCACAAUCAUAUGAAUAACUCAUAAUCAUAAUUGUGAUUCUAAAUUCCUCUUCGCACCCAGGACGAAGAUAAUUUUUAUCACCUAUCUUCACCUGAAACAUCAAAAAUCAUGGUUAUACCAAAUCACAAUUUCUGCUCAUAAUCAUACUAAUAAAUUCAUCUUUGCACUACGGCCAAAGAUAUUCAUUAACACUUCAUCUUUGCACUACAGGCCAAGACAUACAACUGUAUUUUUAGAAGAGUCAAGUAGAGCAUGAUAUCUACUAUCUUUUACGAAUUAAAAAUUUAUUAUCAAUAUUUUAUCGCUGAGACUCAGCUUAAUAAAUAAUCCAAAAUCAUCGAAUCACCCCUGCACUACGGCCAAGGAUAUUCGUUAAUAUCACAUCCAUGAAUUAUCCAUGCACUACGGGUUAAGGAUAUUCAUUAUUAUCACAUCCAUAAAUUAUUAUUUCAUUGCUGAGACUCAGCUCAAUGAUUAAUCCACAUCAUCGAAUCAUCCCUACGCUACGACCAAGGAUAUUCGUUAAUAUCACAUUCAUUAAUUAUCCAUGCACUACGGGUCAAGGAUAUUCAUUAUUAUCACAUUCAUGAAUUAAUAUUUCAUUGCUGAGACUUAGCUCAAUAAUUAAUCCACAUCAUCGAAUCAUCCCUGCACUACAGGCCAAGGAUAUUCUUUAGUAUCACUACCACGAAUUAUCCAUGCACUACGGGCCAAAGAUAAUCAUGUUUUCAUCAACGGUCUUGAUUAUGCCAUAAAAUAAUUCAUCUUUUCACCCUUGGCCGAAGAGAAUCCAUAGCCAUAAUCAUACCAAAAACUGUCCAUCAAUACACUACGGGCCAAUGAGGACUUUUUUCAUAUCAUUUGUAACAUUACGGUCAUGAUUAUACCGAAUAAUCCCUGGUCAUAAUCAUACCAAGUCCAUCUAUGCACUACAGGCCACAGAUGACUUUCAACAUAAUAUAAACAAUUCCAACAGAAUAAUAAAUAAUGGAACCAGGUCAGGCGUAAUACGCACCGACAGGAUAUUCCAACAGAAUAAUAAAGAAUGGAAUAACAACAGAAAUCACCAUGCAUGCGAUAGACCGCACAGACAAGUUAUCCAACAGAAUAAUAAAUAAUGGAACCAGGUCCGGCGUAAACGCACAGACAGGAUAUUCCGACAGAAUAAUAAAGAACGGAAUAAUAAAUAAUGGAACCAGGUCCGGGGUAAACGCACAGACAGGAUAUUCUGACAGAAUAAUAAAUAGCGGAAUAAUAAAUAAUGGAACCAGGUCCGGCGUAAACGCACAGACAGGAUAUUCCGACAAAAUAAUAAAUAACGGAAUAAUAAAUAAUUUCACCAUGUAUGCGGUACUUCGCAUAAACAGGUUAUUCCAACAUAAUAAUAAAGAAUGGAAUAAUAGAAUAAUUUCACCAUGUAUGCGGUACUUCGCAUAACAGGUUAUUCCAACAUAAUAAUAAAGAAUGGAAUAAUCAAAGAAUUUCACCAUGUAUGCGGUACUUCGCAUAGACAGGUUAUUCUAACAUAAUAAUAAAGAAUGGAAUAACAGAAGUUCUCUUCAUGAAUACGAAACAAAUAAUACCCCUUACAGUACAACAAAUAAUCAAGAUUAUAGAAGAAGAACUCUCUCUAUAGUUUCUCUCUAGAGUUUCAGUGAAUUCGUAAGAAAUAAUGAAGGAAUGAGCUUCUAUUUAUAGAAGAAUGGACUGCAUAGUAACUAAUUCAUGGAUGGUCCAGAUUGAUUUACUUUUAAUCGGACGGUCCAUAUUUAAAGCAAAAUCUUUUAAAUAAAAUAUAAUAUAUUCUAUUUAUAAUAUAAUAAAACGAAUAACUUUAUAAAAGUAUUCUGUUUUAUAUAAAAAGAUUUUACUAUGCAAAACACUAUGCAGGCACUAUGCAACACUAUGCAUAAUAAAAUAUGAUAUAUUCUAUUUAUAGAAUAACUUUAUAAAAGUAUUCUGUUUUAUAUAAAAAGCUUUUUCUAUUUUAUUACAUUAAUAAUACUAAUAAAACAAAACUGAGUAACUUAUCACGUUAGCAUUAAUAAUCAAUACCGUGUGUUACUAUGCAACCACGCGUAUUACUGUACUUUUACUACCGAGCAGUUCAAUAGUAUUAACGGUAAAACUUCCGCCGUUAUUUUCAUAAAAAUAUUUUUGUCAUUUUCUCAUUCCAAUAAUAAUUCCGUUGUGGGGUCCACCAAUGAUUGUGCUGUUGUACGAAUAUUCCCCGACAUAAAGAAUAUUCUCCGACCAAUCGAAUAUAAUAUAACAACUUGCAUACUUUGAAAAAUUUAUAAAUAUUACCCACAACUAUAACAUUAUAUCAAAUUCACUCCAUAAUAUUCAAAAAAAAUAUUUCGAGAAAAUUAAAUAUUUAUCCGUAAAAUUUGGGAUUUUACAAAAAAAAUCCAGUGCAAUUACUGUUUCGCUAAACUUACACAUCAAAGCACUGGUUCAACUAGUCAUUUAAAUAGACACAUGUUAACUUGCACGGUUCGUUUAUCUAAAAUUGCUGGAAAAAAACAGAGUGUGUUGGCUUACCUUACUAUUGAAGUUGAUGGUCAAAUGAGUAAUUUGACAAAUUUUAGGUUUGACAAAGAGAGGACCAGAGAUAUUAUGGCAAAAAUGAUUAUGGUGCAUGAAUAUCCCUUUAUAAUGGUUGAGCAUGAAUUUUUCAUUCUUCUCUUGAAAUCAUUGAACCCUAAAUUUGAUCCCAUUUCUCGUGUUACUCUAAAGAAUGACUUCAUGAAAAUUUAUGCUUUAGAAAAGAAAAAAGUGAAAGCUUUGUUGUUUGGCAUCGAUAGAGUGAAUUUAACUUCUGACUUGUGGACAUCUAAUCAAACAAUUGGGUACAUGUGUCUCUAUGCACAUUUCUUAGAUUCUGAUUGGAGGCUUCAAAAAAGAAUUCUAAAUUUCUUUCAUCUGCCACCUCCUCACACUGGCCUCAUGAUUAGUGAUGCCAUUUUUUCUUGUCUUAGUGAAUGGGGCAUUGAAAAUAAGAUAACCACAAUCACUUUAGACAAUGCAUUUUUUAAUGAUUCUGCAGUUAGGAAUCUUAAAGAUAGUUUUGUGUUAAAAGGUAAUUUGUUUUUUGGUGAAAAAUUAUUUCAUGUGAGAUGUUGUGCACAUAUUCUCAAUAUUAUGGUACAAGAUGGUUUAGCUGUGAUUCAAAAUUUUAUUGUGAAGGUUCGUGAUAGUGCAUGUGAAAUACUUUAAGGGAUCCCCUUCUAAACUUCAUAAGUUUUCUGAGAUUACAAAGCAAUUGCAGUUAUGCACAACUAAAAAACUUGUUUUAGAUGUUCCAACUCGUAGGAACUCCACUUAUUCCAUGCUUGAGUCUGCUAUGCAGUUUAGGGAGGUGUUCCCUAGGUAUCAAGAAAUUAAAGGGAUCCACAUUAUCAGUCUUGUCCAUCUUUUGAGGAUUGGGAGAAAGCUAGAAAGGUAAUGGAGUUACUAGAGGUGUUCAAUGAAGCCACACAUGUUUUCUCAGGCUUUGAAUAUCCUACAGCAAAUCUAUUUCUUCCUGAAAUAUGGAAAAUUAAAGAGUUGUUGCUUAAGACAUCAAAUGAUGAUUUUCACUUGUUGAGAGACAUGGCUUUCAAAAUGAAAGAAAAAUUUGAUAAGUAUUGGGGAGAGUGUAACAUUCUGAUGGCAAUUGCAUCUAUCCUUGACCCAAGGUAUAAGAUGGAAUUGGUCAUCUUUUGUUUUCCAAAAAUUUUUACAACUGAGUUUGAAGCUGAUAAAAACAUUGGGCUUGUGAAAAGAGCACUUUAUGAGCUCUAUGAGUAGUAUGUUUGUGUUCACUGUUUAAUACCUACUAGUGUGCCUAGUAUGGAAGGAAGUUCUGCCAAUGUUAGUGGUAGUUGCUUUGAGAAAAGUAAAACAAAGUGCAGAGCUGAAUUUAAUUCUUGGGCUCAAGGUAUAGACAUUGUUACUCCUAUUAAAUCUGAUCUGGAUGCAUAUCUUGAAGAGGGUAAGUAUAUAUGUAAUGAUGAUGAGUCCUUUGAUGCUUUACUUUGGUGGAAAGCAAACACCUUAAAGUUUAUAAUUCUUUCAAAAAUGGCAAGGGAUAUACUAUCAAUUCAUGUUAGCACUAUGGCAUCUGAGAGUACUUUUAGUGUUGGUGGAAGGGUACUAGAUCAAUAUAGGAGCUCUCUCAAGCCUAAAACUAUUCAAGCUCUUAUAUGUACUUCUGAUUGGCUAAGGUGUGAUUAUAGGCUAAAUAAAAUGAGUGCUGCUAUGGUAUGAUUUAUUUCUUAUCAAAUUUUAGUUUACUUUUUUAUUGUUAUUGUUUAUGUAUGUAACAAAUUAGUUUAACACUUUACACUUAACAGGUUGAUGAAGAUGGUGUUAAUGACAUUAAUUUGGAGUGAAUUGCAGUUGUGUUGCUACUGGAUUACUGUUUUCUGCAGUGCUGCUAUUUUUCUAUUUUUUUCCUUAAUGAAAUUGAGUGAAAGUAAGGAUUUAAACUUAUUUUAUGGGUUGUAAUCUUUUGUUAAACUUGAAUUGUUUUUGGUACUGUUAUUUGGGUUUUGUUGAACUACAAACUUGGUUGUGUUGGACUGCAGAACUGGUUGUGUUGAACUAUAAAAUUGGUACUAUUAUUUGGGUUUUGUUUGAAUUGGUUGUGUUUGAAUUUUGUUAUUAGAUUAUAAAUUGCUUAACUUAUUAUUUCUUUUAAUAAUUAUUUGAUGAUUACUUAAUAUUGAAGACAUGAGAUAAGGAACUGAGAAUCCAAAUGUUAAUUCUCCUAUAUUUUUAAUGUUCUGAUAUUGAUUAUUGUUUCUUGUUUUAUUUCAAGAAUUGAAGUAUAAAGUAAAUUUGAAUUUGAUGCCUUGAAGGUUGAAGGCCUGAAGAGUAGUUUUUGGUACUAUGUACUUCAUAUUUUGAUUGAUCUUUUUCUUCAUAUCAUUUUCUUUAUCUGAAUAUGUACGAAUGCUUGUGUCAUUUCUGUUGCAAAGGCUCGUGAUACAUUUGAAUAUUUUCUUCAUCAGGUGUGAACUUUCAGCGAUUGAGCAGUUUUAUAGUGCACUCCUGUUGAAGAGUUGCAACUUCCACUUGGACCACCUUGUUUGACAUUUUAAAUUAUUUACUUUUUCUCAAAUAUUUUUGGUGUUCAUUGAUUCUCACUUAUCUUUAAAUUUCCAUGAAGAAGUACAGUUGGGCGGUAGGCUCUUACAUAUCCUAAAGAUAUUGCUCCAUAUCUCUGUUUAUCUUCUUCAGGUGUGAGAUCUGUCAUAUGUUCAGUUUCUAGUCAAUUUCACUGGUGCUAAUGAAAAGUUCAGAUAUAUUUUGCAAUCUCCAUUUUCGUUCCUCUUAUAAUACUGAUUACUUCUUCAAAUUACAAUAAUUGGUUCCAACAGAAAGAUGGUGAGUUUUUCAGGGGCCAUAAAGUGUUUUUACGGCGUGUUGCUUCUGCCUUCAACAACUUUGAGGAAUCCACUGAAAGAUCAUGCCAUGAAAAGUUAGCUACCAUUCCUUCUCAUUGUUCAAUUAAUUUUUGGCUUUCUCAAAGAAAUUGAAUUUUUAGUAUGUAUACCUUGAUAUGAUUUCAACACCUUUGAUGAAGAUAAUAUUUGCUGAUAUAAUGAAACUAUAUUACUUCAAAUAGAUUCUUCAUACACAAUUUGAUUCUCAUGUAAAAUAGAACUGUGUCAAAGAGUGGUUUGUUGGUUAAUUUUAAGUUUGAAAUAGUAUGAGAAGCAUACUAGUAUGCUACAAAUGCUUGACCUUAAAACAGAACUCAGUACUACUUGGUUUUUAAAAAGUGACCCUUGUUGCUUUAGUACCAAAAAGCUUCUUGUCAAAGCUUGAGUAGCUAGUACUUUGGGAUGAAGAUGCUCUAUCACGUGAAUGAUUGGAGUCAUCUCCAUGGAUGUCUCGCAUGGCUCUCCCGGUAGAUCAGAUGUCCCAUCCAUUGUUGCGGUAUUCAUGCUACCACUUUUAUCUGUGUAGCAUAUUAAGUUGAUCACUCUCUCUUAAAUAAUGUGUGAUAGUUCUUUUAUUGCUCCACUAAAGGUUCAUACUUUUAGGUAGUUGGAUCUCAAUCUUGGCCUUUAAUAUCAAGGUACAGAGCAGUUGUGCGAACACAAUCAUCAAAAGUUGAGAUAAUUGAAGCUUUGUUCAAACAUUCACCGGAUGGGAAAGAUUUUGGCAUCAUGAGGUAUGUCUGAUCAUAUCUAACGAAUUUCUAACUAAAUAUUGUAUUUUCAAAUUUCAUGAUGAUGAGCCUGAUGGUCUUUUCGUUUAAUCAUGAACAGUUGAUUCUAUAUAUUGUUGAGUGUUGAUAAAAAAUUCCUACUCUAUCCUCCUUUGUUUAAUCAAUUAACAAUAUUCCAUAGGGAACUUCUCGUCCAGCUCACAACGUAAGUCCUGGUUUCUUGGAACAGAACUUGGAAUCGUUUCAUCUUAGUGGGUAACUAAUGAACUGAUAUGCAGGUUUUAGUUCACUUUCUCUAAUAUUUUAUUCUUUUUAUAACCUGAAUGUGACGCCCCCAAAAUAGGUCCACACGACCCAUUCUGAGUCGCCAGAUAUCACACUAUAAAAAUCAAAUACAAACUUCAUUUAUACAACUGUUGAACUGUCGUGUAGAGUACGACCACAGAUAAGCUGUGAGUUUUAAUACAAUAUUGUCUCGUAGACAGUAUCCAACUCAAAUUGUUACAAUGCCAUAUAAAAUAUAGCAGCAAAUAUUUUAAGACCCCAAAGAAGAAUGAGAAGAUUACUAUCAUAUUCAUUCUAAUGAGGUGCACUUUUGACGCUUUUAAAGUUGGGUUCUCAUCACCCCAUUGUUGUUCACCAAAAUCAAUUAUUAAGUUACGUAUAAAAUACGACACCCGCAUCUUAGGUCCUCAAUACAAUUAUCUGUUGUAUGUCAUGCCAUUUUAUAAUGUAUUGAGAAACUUCGAUAGUCUCGGACCAUCCCACUAUUUCCCUAUUAUCCCCGCUCGACCCAGCUACACUCUUAUUACCUGAAAGGAAUUGUGAAGCAAAAGGGUGAGCACAAUUAGCCCAGUAAAGAAUAUCAUGGCUAAGAUAAUUAAUUUAUCAACAGCCUUUAUCAGAAUAAAUCAGAGAUUUAUAACAUAUGGUAGAUAAUAAAAGUUUUCAACCAUAAUUGCAGCGGAAUCAACAAUCCAUUAGAAGAGUCAAGUAGAACAUAAUGUCUACUAUUUGCUCUAAAUUAAAAGUCCAUCGUUGAUAUUUUAUUCCUGUAAUACUCAUUAACAGUUCUUUGUUAUACUUAAAACAAAUAGAACUUUCAACACUUGUCUUCACCUGAACCACCAAAGAUGUUAGUUAAAUUCACAAUUCAUAUUUAUAAUAAUGUGAAUUAGCAGUUCCUUCUUGCCACAAAGGCUUAAUAGAACGUUUACUCAAUAUCCUUACCCCAAAGGCUGAAGAUAUUCAAAUUUAAUAACAAUAAUCAUACCAAUCAGUUGUCUAUCUUUGUACUACGGGCCAAAGAUAUUCAACUAUAAAAACAAUGGUCAUGAUCAUACCAAUCAAUUGUCUGUCAGUGCACUACGCCCAAAGACAUUCAACUGUUAACUAAUGGUCAUGAUCCUGCCAAUCACAUCAUUGAAUUAUCCAUGCACUACGGCCAAGGAUAUUCGUUAGUAUCACUAGUGGUCAUGAUCAUGUCAUACACCUGUCCAUCUUCGCACUACGGGUCAAAGCUAUCAAACAACAGAUCAUCUUUGCACUACAUGCCAAAGAUAUUCAACAACAUAUCAUCUUUGCACUACAGACCAAAGACAUACAACUAUAAAACCAAUAACCAACAGUAUAAUAGAGAAUGGAAUAAUAAAAGAAUUUCACCAUGUAUGCAAUACUCCGCAUAAACAGGUUAUUCCAACAUAAUAAUAAAGAAUGGAAUAAUAAAAGAAUUUCACCAUGUAUGCAAUACUUCGCAUAAACAGGUUAUUCCAACAUAAUAAUAAAGAAUGGAAUAACAGAAGAAUUUCACCAUGCGUGCGAUAGACUGCACAGACAGGUUAUUCCCAACAGAAUAAUAAAUAAUGGAACCAGGUCAGGCGUAAACGCACAGACAGGAUAUUCCGAUAGAAUAAUAAAUGCGAAAUAAUAAAUAAUGGAACCAGGUCCAGUGUAAAACACACAAACAGGAUAUUCCGACAUAAUAAUAAAUGUGGAAUAAUAAAUAAUGUAACCAGGUCCGGCGUAAAAUGCACAGACAGGAUAUUCCGACAGAAUAAUAAAGAAUGGAAUAAUAAAAGAAUUUCACCAUGUAUGCGGUACUUCGCAUAAACAGGUUAUUCCAACAUAAUAAUGAAGAAUUGAAUAACAACUCUUACGAGUAUUGAAAGAAAGUAAUUCUCUUCAUUAAUACAAAAGAAUAAUACCCCUUACGAGUACAACAAAUAAUAUCCCUUACUAUAAUAAUAAUAUCCCUUACGAGUACAACAAAUAAUAUCCCUUACUAUAAUAAUAAUAUCCCUUACCGUAAAAAAAACUGGAUUUAAAAGUAGUGAAGUAGCAGAAUACUCUUCUUCUUUCUCUCUAUAAUUUCUCUCUCUAGAGUUUAAGUGAAUUCGUAAGAAAUAAUGAAGGAAUAAGCUUCUAUUUAUAGAAGAAGGGACUGCAUAGUAACUAAUUCAUGAACGGUCCAGAUUGAUUUACUUUUAAUCGGAUGGUCCAUAUUUAAAGCAAAAUCUUUUAAAUAAAAUAUAAUAUAUUCUAUUUAUAAUCUAAUAAAACGAAUAAUUUUAUAAAAGUAUUCUGUUUUAUAUAAAAAGUUUUUACUAUGUAAAACACUAUGCAGGCACUAUGCAACACUAUGCAUAAUAAAAUAUAAUAUAUUCUAUUUAUAGAAUAACUUUAUAAAAGUAUUCUAUUUUAUAUAAAAAAGAUUUUACUAUGUAAAACACUAUGCACAAUAGAAUAUAAUAUAUUCUAUUUAUAGAAUAACUUUAUAAAAGUAUUCUGUUUUAUAUAAAAACUUUUCUACUAUUAUAAUUUCAACCAACGGUCUGAAAAAUUAGUACAUCUCUUCAUGGAAUAAUAUUGUACCCAAAAAUAAUUUGGACUGAAAAGAAAUAUAUUUUUCGGGUGAAUAGUACCCUGUGAAUAGUAACUCGUGAAUAGUAACUCAUGAAUAGUAACUCAUGAAUAGUAACUCGUGAAUAGUACUCCGACACAAAAAGUGCCCCAAAUACCCGAGUGAAUAAUACUAGAGUGAAUCGUAACCGGUUAUUUUAUGACAACUUGUCUACUUAAAAAAAAAAUCACAUAACACCCUUAACUUUAAACUUUUAUCAAUUUAACCAUUUACUAAAAUAGAAAAAUUGAAUACUUUUAUUUCAUAAAAUUCGGGGUCUCACACUGAACAUAUUGUAGUAAUUCAUCUUUGGAGAUUCUUUUUUAUUUUUCCCAAACCUUUUGUUGGUUUCUAACUUUUUGAUUCUGCCUUGACUAAUUAGAUGGUGCUACUGGGAUACUUUAUAUGUGAAUUAUACAUGCUACAGUUGAUCUUGUAUGCCAUAUACUGCAAAAACGAACUGUUGAUAAUUCUCAUCCCUGGACUUGGACACUUGAAUGAAUCAAUGUUAAUGCUGCUGCUUGCUGGAAACUUGAAUCCUUGUGAUGCUGCUUGUUAGAUAAUGUUGUUGCUAGAAACUUGAAUGUUAAUGUUGUUGCUACUACUAAUGUGUAUUUUGUAAUUCAUAUGCCUAACUUUUUAAAAUUGUAUAUUGUGAAUUGUAAAUUUGGAAUCAAUAAUUAAUAUGAUAUAAGCUCGUUUUUACUCGAGUUCGAUUCAAAACAAGUAGUUUGAAUAUAAUUUCGAGUUGAGUCGAACUUUAAGUAUCAUUUUUUGCAUCGAGUCGAAUACGAGUACAUUGUUUAAAUUUUAUUUCGAAUUCGAAUCGAAUACGAGCAAGACAUUUUUGCAUCGAAUCAAAUCUAAGCAGCCUAGAAUCCAGAUCGAUUUGACUCGUUUACAACCUUACCAACAAGUCGUGUACUAAAUUAUGAUACUCAAGAGUCGAGACUCGUUUUAUUGUAAAAGGUCACAAGUUAUAAUUUAGUACAUAUUGAAAAUAAAUACUAUAGCUAUUUAUACAUAACCACCUUCUAAAUGUUGUUAUCCUUGCAUGAUAUUUAAUGAUAUUUAUUUUCAAGCUAUUUAUACACAACCACCUUUUAAGAUGAAUGCUAGCUAGUUCUUAAUUUUCUCAUUGAAAUACAUAUGGAGAUUGGGAAUCUCUCUUUCCUUGUAAUGGGGAUUGUUGUUUAUGUGUUACUAGUCUCUCCCUCCCUUUUUAUUUAUCCUUGUUGGAAACUUGUGACUCAUAAUAUAGAAACCACUGGAAAAGGCUAGUGCGGAGCGCAGCGGAACGGAGCUCGGGUCGAAGGUCCCGAGCGGAGCGGAGUGGAGCGAAGCGACGUACUAGUCCAUCAGGAUUGCAUCGAAGGUCGCGGGGGGUGCGGGGGUGCAAAGCCCCCCGCGGUACGAUACAUGAGUUUUUUUUAGGUUGUUUAUUGGAGGACAUUAUAGGUAAAUUGAGACAUAAUAUGAAGUAGGGUUCGAAUAAGAUUAGUAGCUAUAAAUACAAUCUAUUUUAAAGCCCUAUGUAACUAAGGAAUCAUCAAUAAACAACAAGCCGCCUGUGGACAGUGGUGGAACCAGAAGAUAAUUUAAGGGGGGCAAAAUACAUCAAUAAAAAAUUUAUUUAUUAACGCUUGGAGAGCUUCUUUCGGUUGUACGAGUGAGAGCAGGCAACUGUAUCCUGCGAGUCUGCAUAGUUUGAAAAUGUCUCAAAGUUUUCAAUUGUUGAAAAAAUAUCCUUCUCAAUAUAAACUACUAGACUGUCAUUCAUCCACUCGUCUCCCAUUUUGUUACGCAAGUCAGUCUUGACAAUUUUCAUUGCAGAGAAUACUCUUUCAACAGUAGCAGUUGCAACUGGUAAAACCAAAGCCAACUCGAUCAAUCGAUAUACCAAUGUAAAAGUCAUAUGUCUUCUUGUUUCAAUCAGCUUCUUAGCAAGACUUCCCAAACCCAAAUUUUUGAUCCCAAAAAAUUGACUAUCGCAUCGCAUAUCAUAAAUGUAAUUUUCAAGUUGAUCCCCAAGUAUCAUGCAAUCAGUCAAUGAGAAGUCUUCUGGAUAAAGCUCAGCAAGACGGAGUAAUUUAUUUUUGUCAAAUUGAGAGAACAAAUCCCUUGGAUCAAGGCAUGAUAUGCAUAAAAGUAACUCUGUGCUUGUUUCUGAAAAACGAUUGUUCAUCUCUUGAACAAUUGAAUCAACAACCUACAUUGUAAUAAUGCUACUUUAAAAAAAAGAUAAAUUUUUAGAUAGGAAUAAUGAAAAAAGAGUUAUGAGAUUAUACCUGACAAAAAAUCUCAACACGAUAAUGCUGAAAAUUAGUAAUAAUUUGUCCAUUGCGCCUGCUACGACCGCGGAGUCUCAUGUUGUCUUCCAUAUUAAUUAUUGGGAUCACGUUCUUCUCACAAAAUAUAUUGAUCUCCUUCAAAAAGUUCUCCCAUUCUGCCUCCCUAAAAUCUUGUAGUCGAGCUUUCAUUACCCUAAUCAAUCUCACAGCAUGCACAAUGUUUUGAUCUUUUUGUUGCAAGGCAAGUGACAAAUCAUUUGUGAUUCCCAAUAUAUAUUUCAUCAAAUGCAUCACAAAUACAAAUUCAUAAUUCUCCAUCUUAUCAAUCAAACUUAUGGCAAUACCGCUAUUAUCAUCAGAAGCACCAUCAUCAUGCACAUUUUCAAGCACUUGUAAUAUGGAAGUCCACAUAGACAUAAGACGGAUUAUUGUUAUGUAAUGUGACCCCCAACGAGUAUCUCCUGGCCGUUUUAAACUAAUUUCUUAAUUUUUUCCUUUACCACUAACUAUCUCUCCCUUUUCUAAACACUUCACGAUCCUAUCAUGUUCAAGCUGUCUAAGUUUAUCUUUCCUUUUACAUAAUGCUCCAGCCACAUUCAUAAUCAUAGUAACAUAUUGAAAAAAAUCACUCACAAUACGGCUGCUCUUGGCAACAGCAACAACAACUAAUUGGAGUCAGUGAGAAAAACAAUGGACAUACCUUGCAUUUGGAUUUUCUUUUAAAAUAAGAGCCUUCAAUCCAUUGAACUCGCCUCGCAUAUUUGAAGCCCCAUCAUAUCCUUGACCUCUCAACCUCGAUAAUGACAAUUUAUGCUUUGCAAAUAAUUCAUCAAUAGCAUUCUUCAAAGAAAUAGAUGACGUGUCAGGCACAUGUACCACACCAAGAAACUUUUCAAUCACAUCUCCAUGGUUGUUUAUAUAUUUCAAAACAACUCUCAUUUGCUCCUUUAUUGAAACAUCUCGAGACUCAUCAACCAUAAUAGAAAAUAUUUUAUCCCCAAUAUCAUUGAUAAUGGCAAGUGUAGUUUCUACGGAACAAGCACUUAUUAGUUCUUUUUGAAUUUUUGGAGAAGUCAUUUGAUUGUUUCUAAGAGCAUUCUCAUUAACUACCUUUCCUACCUAUUCAUUUCGUAGGUUGUACCACUCAAAAAACUCAAGAAAAUUUCCCUUAUUUGAUGAAGUCAAUGACUCAUCAUGUCCACGAAAAGACAAACCUUGCUUCAAAAGAAGGUGUGUGACAUCCAAAGCCGCCGUUAAACGUGUGCGAUAAGCAACCUCCAUCUCUUGCCCUUGUGCUAGUAGUAUAUGUGACACACUCUGCCUUUGAUUUUUAAAACCUUGGAGUUGUAUUCUAGCAUCAUUAUGAGCACUAUUCGAAGCACCCACAUGUUCUUGAAAUCUUUCAAUUGCCUUUUUCCAGUUGCUGAAACCUUUUUUUGUAAAAGCAUCUACUCUGUUUGAAUUGCCAAAUAGAUAGCAGCAAAAGCAAAAGGCUGCAUCCUUGGAAAUGCUAUCCUCCAACCAUUCAAAAUUUUUAAACCAAGCGAGCCGAAAGCUUCUCUUCACAUUAGAAUAGUUUUUUUGGGGAUAAUUAUGGGCAAUUGGUUGACAUGGACUUCUAGUCAAAUACUCUCUUCGAACUUGAUCUCUAAUGACAAUAGCAAAGUCUUCAAUUGAUUUACGUAACCCCGGAUCACUAACAAUAUCAUUCGGAUUGAACUCCACGCGUGAAUUAUUAAAAUCACCAUUUGCUUCGGAACUUGGUAUUUGAUUAUUAGAAGAAUCAACAGUUCUUUGUCGCUUAAUCAAGUAUUUAUCCAUAAUCUAGUAUAAAUAAAAACAUCAAUUGCUAUUUGCUAAUCAAUAAUUUUAUUAAUUUAAACAUUUCAUAAUAAUUUAAUCAUUCAUCAAUUAUUUAAGAAAACAGAAAUUAAACAAAUUCUAGCUAAUCUAGAUAAUUAAAAAUAAAAUCAAUUAUUCCUAAAUUAACAGAAAAUCAAUUAUUCCUAAAUUAACAGAAAAUCAAUUAAAUUAACAGAAAAUCAAUUAAAACCAAUUAUUCCUAAACUAACAUAAAAUCAAUUAAAUUAACAGAAAAUCAAUUAAAAUCAAUUAUUCCUAAAUUAACAUAAAAUUAAUUUUUAUUCUUUUACUUACCAAAGUCCAAAGCAGAGUAGCAGUGGUCUGUGGUUAAGUGGAGGCAGGAGGCAUGAUCAGUAGACAUCGGCGGGCGGGCAGGCGUGCGGCGGCAGGCGCAAUGGAUCUGUCAUCUGUGGACUGUGGACCUGUGGCUGUGGAGGUGAGGUGCGAAGACUGAAGAGGGAAAUAACUGGGGUCUGGGAUGUGGAGGCGACUGU
rnacentral:lncRNA from 1 species